GACGAACGCUGGCGGCGUGCCUAAUACAUGCAAGUAGAACGCUGAAGGAGGAGCUUGCUUCUCUGGAUGAGUUGCGCACGGGUGAGUAACGCGUAGGUAACCUGCCUGGUAGCGGGGGAUAACUAUUGGAAACGAUAGCUAAUACCGCAUAAUAGUAGAUGUUGCAUGACAUUUGCUUAAAAGGUGCAAUUGCAUCACUACCAGAUGGACCUGCGUUGUAUUAGGUAGUUGGUGAGGUAACGGCUCAACAAGGCAACGAUUCAUAGCCGGCCUCGGAAGGUGGACCGGCACACCGGGACCGAGACACCGCCCAGACUCCUUCGGGAGGGAGCAGUAGGGGAUUCUCGGGAAUGGACGGAAGUCUGACCGAGCAACGGCGCGGGAGUGAAGAAGGUUUUCGGAUCGUAAAGCUCUGUUGUAAGAGAAGAAAGAGUGUGAGAGUGGAAAGUUCACACUGUGACGGUACCUUACCAGAAAGCGACGGCUAACUACGUG
rnacentral:rRNA from 1 species